GGAUUGUUCACCCACCAAUAGGGAACGUGAGCUGGGUUUAGACCGUCGUGAGACAGGUUAGUUUUACACUACUGAUGACAGUGUCGCAAUAAUAAUUCAAACUAGUACGAGAGGAACCGCUGAUUCGCACAAUUGGUCAUCGCGCUUGGUUAAAAAGCCAGUGGCGCGAAGCUACCGUGCGCUAGAUUUUGACUGUACGCCUCUAAGUCAGAAUUCGGGCUAAAGCGAUGCAUGUACCCGUCGCCGCUUGCUGACUUGCAGUAGGGGCCGUCUGGCCUCCAACGGCACUUGUCGUUGGUGAAGCCCGUGCGGCGGAUAAGCUGCGUGGGCCGCCUUGAAGUACAAUUCCUAUCUCGAGCAGUGGGUAGAAUCCUUUGCAGACGACUUAAAUACACGACGGGGUAUUGUAAGUGGCAAAGUGGCCUUGCUGCCACGAUCCACUGAGAUUCAGCCCUGCGUCGCUCCGAUUCGUCCCUCCC
rnacentral:rRNA from 1 species